CGCUGGCGGCGUGCCUAACACAUGCAAGUCGAACGAGAAAGUGGAGCAAUCCAUGAGUAAAGUGGCGACCGGGUGAGUAACACGUGACUAACCUACCUUCGAGUGGGGGAUAACCUCGGGAAACCGGGGCUAAUACCGCAUAAUGCCUUCGGGUUAAAGGAGCAAUUCGCUUGAAGAGGGGGUCGCGGCCGAUUAGGUAGUUGGCGGGGUAACGGCCCACCAAGCCCGUGAUCGGUAGCCGGCCUGAGAGGGCGCACGGCCACACUGGAACUGAAACACGGUCCAGACUCCUACGGGAGGCAGCAGUGGGGAAUUUUGCGCAAUGGGGGAAACCCUGACGCAGCAACGCCGCGUGGAGGAUGAAGUCCCUUGGGACGUAAACUCCUUUCGACCGGGACGAUUAUGACGGUACCGGUGGAAGAAGCCCCGGCUAACUUCGUGCCAGCAGCCGCGGUAAUACGAGGGGGGCGAGCGUUGUUCGGAAUUAUUGGGCGUAAAGGGCACGUAGGCGGUGCGGUAAGUCACCUGUGAAACCUCU
rnacentral:rRNA from 1 species